UGACAUUUUGGUAUCUUUCAUCUGACCAU
rnacentral:piRNA from 1 species